CGCCUGGGGAGUACGGUCGCAAGAUUAAAAACUCAAAUGAAUUGACGGGGGCCCGCACAAGCGGUGGAGCAUGUGGUUUAAUUCGAUGCAACGCGAAGAACCUUACCUACUCUUGACAUCCAGAGAACUUUCCAGAGAUGGAUUGGUGCCUUCGGGAACUCUGAGACAGGUGCUGCAUGGCUGUCGUCAGCUCGUGUUGUGAAAUGUUGGGUUAAGUCCCGCAACGAGCGCAACCCUUAUCCUUGUUUGCCAGCGAGUAAUGUCGGGAACUCCAGGGAGACUGCCGGUGAUAAACCGGAGGAAGGUGGGGACGACGUCAAGUCAUCAUGGCCCUUACGAGUAGGGCUACACACGUGCUACAAUGGCGCAUACAGAGGGCAGCCAACUUGCGAAAGUGAGCGA
rnacentral:rRNA from 1 species